CUCUCCCAUCCCUACAAUUGUGACAACUGAGAAUGACAUCAGCAAGACACAGAUGACACACAGGAUGCAUCUUUGGACCACCUGUCUUCUGGAGUUUGUCCGUGUCUCUGCUGUCCUGCACUUACAUUGGAGCCACUAUCAUUUGAGACCUUGUGCUUCUUCCAGGCCAGUAGGCAGCAGAGCACACGUACUGAAGGCAGACUGAAUCCUCUUUCUUACCCACUCCCAGCCCUGCCUGCCAUCACUGGCAGUGGCCACGGUGGUUGGGAGGAUUCAGGAAGACCAGGAGAACGUUCACCCUGGCACUGUCCUGGGUGCCAUGAGACCUGCUGUGGAAUCAGCUGGAUUCUGAAAUUUGGAACCAUUCUAACUGGAGUGGGAAGACACGUGAAGACCUGUGUGAGGCAUGAACCUGUACUUCCACUUUCCAGUCUCUACUAGAUGCCAUGAACUGCUGCUCCUCUGCCACAGCACCCUGCCUUGGAGCCAGCUGAGAAUAGACCGAAACCUCCACAAAAUGUGAGCUAAAUAA